rnacentral:rRNA from 1 species
AGAGUUUGAUCCUGGCUCAGGAUGAACGCUGGCGGCGUGCCUAACACAUGCAAGUCGAACGAAGCAUACACCACGGAAGCCUCCGGGCGGAAGAGGGGUAUGACUGAAUGGCGGACGGGUGAGUAACGCGUGGGCAACCUGCCCUGUACCGGGGGAUAACACCCAGAAAUGGGUGCUAAUACCGCAUAAGCGCACAGUGCCGCAUGGCACGGUGUGAAAAACUCCGGUGGUACAGGAUGGGCCCGCGUCUGAUUAGCUAGUUGGCAGGGUAACGGCCUACCAAGGCAGCGAUCAGUAGCCGGCUUGAGAGAGUGACCGGCCACAUUGGGACUGAGACACGGCCCAAACUCCUACGGGAGGCAGCAGUGGGGAAUAUUGCACAAUGGGGGAAACCCUGAUGCAGCGACGCCGCGUGAGUGAAGAAGUAUUUCGGUAUGUAAAGCUCUAUCAGCAGGGAAGAAAAUGACGGNUACCUGACUNAAGAAGCCCCGGCUAACUACGUGCCAGCAGCCGCGGUAAAUACGUAGGGGGCAAGCGUUAUCCGGAUUUACUGGGUGUAAAGGGAGCGUAGACGGCAUGACAAGUCCGGAGUGAAAGCCCGGGGCUCAACCCCGGGACUGCUCUGGAAACUGCCAUGCUUGAGUGCGGGAGGGGCAGGCGGAAUUCCUAGUGUAGCGGUGAAAUGCGUAGAUAUUCGGAGGAACACCAGUGGCGAAGGCGGCUUGCUGGGCUCUAACUGACGCUGAGGCUCGAAAGUGUGGGGAGCAAACAGGAUUAGAUACCCUGGUAGUCCACACUGUAAACGAUGAUAGCUAGGUGUGGGGGGUCUGACCCCUUCCGUGCCGGAGUUAACGCAAUAAGCUAUCCACCUGGGGAGUACGGCCGCAAGGUUGAAACUCAAAGGAAUUGACGGGGGCCCGCACAAGCAGUGGAUUAUGUGGUUUAAUUCGAAGCAACGCGAAGAACCUUACCAGGUCUUGACAUCCAACUAACGAGAUAGAGAUAUGUUAGGUGCCCUUCGGGGAAAGUUGAGACAGGUGGUGCAUGGUUGUCGUCAGCUCGUGUCGUGAGAUGUUGGGUUAAGUCCCGCAACGAGCGCAACCCU